ACGAAAAGAGAAGGGAAGGAGGAAGUAGCCCCUUCUCAGUGUGUACCAUCCACAUCGAGCUCAUCACGAGGGUGAAUGUGAACGGGUCAACGGUCAACGCCGGCAUAUAUCAACCCCUAGCUAGCUCCAAGGUGGUCAUCACCAAGCUCAGCCUCCACAAGGACCCGCAAGUAGUCGCUACUCGACCGCCGAGGAGAUCGAUAAUGCAGAACGUUGACUGACGUUGACGGAUAUUCUUGUGGUUGGCUACAUAGUUUCACAAAACCAAGACCCCAGGAACAUGGGACCUGAGGAUGCAACCUGUGAAGAAAUCUCUAAUCAUAAUGAGAGAUUGAGCAGGACAGUAAAGGUCUUUGGAUUUCCUUGUACCAAUAAGGAUGCAGAGGAAACUAGUCCUGAUGAUAUGAGUGCUCAGCUUACGGGAACAGUGGUGAAGUCCUCUGUUGAAAUCAUUACCGGAAAAGAAUCAGUUGAUUUUGUUGGACUGGAGGAAGUGAACCCCAAAUCAAAUAGAUAUAGAUAUGAUGCUGUGGUGCGGUUUAGCAACACCAACCAAGCCAACACACUUAUACAGUGGGCAGCAUCUGGAAUUUUGUGCUAUGGUCACUGUCGUCUGAAGGCCGAGAAAUAUGUGAGGGACAAUGUGCCUCGAUCAAAGACACCUAACCCAUGCAUGGAGAACUUAACAAUGCACUUUGGGUGCCAGACUAAGGACACUGACUUUUAUAGUUUGUGGGGAGCAGACAAUGUUUCAAUGGCGCACGAGGUGGAUCCACGCAGAUUGACUUUCAUUAUGGAAGAUAAGCUUACACAGUAUAAGCUUCAGUUUUAUGAUGCGGGUAUUCAUGAGUUUGAGCUUCGUUGCCCUCGAGUUAAUCUUGAAGAUGAUGAUGGUAGUUCAUUUGCCACAUAUUUACUAAUGAAGUUGAAAGAAGCACCGAGGAUCUUUAAGGAAGUGGAUCAUGGCCCGCAAUUUAAACACCCUUAUUAUAGGAUUUCACCAGAUAAGGAGUGGGUGAGAGCAACAGAUUUCACUCCGUCAUAUUCAAUAGGCCAAUCUUCUGUAGUUUGCUUGAUUAUUGGCCACACAUGUCUUCCAAAUUUUCUGCGGCAGUUUUCUUGCCCUUACAAGCAGAGGUCAGAUGGACUCAGAUUGGUGCAAGGCGAUUCUUAUUCUAUCCACUUGGACUACAAACUCGUACCUAUUGUUGAAAGUCUUGAUCUGCCAUAUGAGAUAGUUUACAAGAUCAACUCAUUGGUUCAGAGAGGGAAGCUUGUUGGUCCAAAUCUAGAUAAAUUUUUUUAUCAUUUGAUGAAUCUGAAAUCUCAGCAGAGGUGGCAAAUAGAAUUUGCUUUGGAUAGAUUGGGGGAUGUGAGAGAUACUUGUUAUGAUCCUUGCUCUUGGCUAGAGGACUUCUACUCCAAUCCUGUCACAUCAAAGUCUGCCACAAGUUCAAGUCAUAAUGCUGCAGCUAUGGUUCCUAACAUUUUAGUCACACCCUCAAAGGUUUACUUUAAUAUUCCAAAGUGCAUGUCCAAUCGUGUACUACGUAUAGUGUUGCAGAGUCAUCCGCAUCUGAUUGGUAACUUCCUUCGAGUAUCUUUUGUUGAGGAGAAUAUGAGCAAGUUAUAUUUCAACAAAGAUGAUGUUGAAAUCAAAGAAAGAAUUCUUGCCAUCUUGAGAAAUGGUUUAAGAAUUGCCGAGAAGAAGUUUGAGUUUCUUGCAUUCACAGGAAGUCAAUUGCGCAAUAAUUCUUUGUGGAUGUUUGCAUCUACACCUGAGCUUACUGCAUCGUCCAUCAGAAAAAAAUUGGGAAACUUCAGCCAUUUGAAGAAUCCGGCUAAAUAUGCAGCAAGGCUAGGUUUAUCUUUUGGUGAGUCAGUUGAGGCAGCACAUGUGACGUGUGAUGAGUAUGAACAUGUUGAGGAUAUCAUUCGUGGCAAGUUUGUCUUCUCUGAUGGGAUUGGGAAGAUAUCUGAGAGUUUUGCUAGGAAAGUGGCCCGGGCAUGUCACUUAAGUGAGACUCCGUCUGCAUUUCAGAUACGAUAUGCCGGUUACAAGGGUGUGGUAGCUAUUGAUCCUGACUUAAAGGAGAAGAAGCUCAUAUUGAGAGAUAGUAUGCGUAAGUAUCAGUCACAGAUCACGGCAUUUGACAUCUUGAGUCACAGUAUGUAUAUACCGUAUUUUUUGAACCGACAGCUGAUCUUGCUCAUGUCUUCUAGAGGAGUUGAGGAUGAAGUCUUUUUGGAGAAGCAGAGAUUGUUUAUACAACAGUUGACAGAAUUAUCUAUGAACCCUUCAACAAAUGCACAUGACAUGGAGAGAUAUGCCGGAGAGAGGACAAACACUUUCAAGGAACUUGAUUUUUUUGAUAGACUUGAUGAAUCAUUCAGAGAUCAGCCUUUGAAGGUGAUGAGAAAUGAAUCAAGAAUCUAUAUUCCUGAUGGAAGAGUGAUGAUGGGGUGUUUGGAUGAGACUGCUAUAUUAGAACAUGGUCAAGUAUUUGUCCAGUAUAGUCAAUUGGAGUCUUGCGGAUUUGAUGAGAGAAGCAAGAAGGAAAAAAAGAGCAUCAUCGUGAAGGGAAAUGUAGUUAUUGCUAGAAGUCCAUGUCUGCAUCCGGGAGACUUGCUUGUUUUAACGGCUGUGGAUAUUCCAGCUCUACAUCAUAUGGUGGACUGUGUUGUAUUUUCACAGAAUGGAGAAAGGCCUAAUCCAGAUAAAACCUCGGGAGGUGAUCUUGAUGGAGAUCUUUAUCAUGUGUGUUGGGACCCAACUUUAAUUCCUAGCCUACCAUUUGAUGCUGCGGAUUAUCCUGCAUCAAAAAGUUCUGAAUUAAAUGAGGUCAAGAUUGAGGAUGUUAAGAAAUAUUUUGUGGAAUACAUGUUAAAGGACACUUUGGGAAAAAUUACGAAUGCGUGGUAUAUUUCUGCGGAUUUAAAUGGAGAAGGUGCACGGAGUUCCCAGUGUUUAGACCUUGCACAGCUAGCUUCAAAGGCUGUUGAUUCUGCAAAAAGUGGUGAAGAUGUUUCCUUACCAUUCUUUUAUGGGACAUACCCAGAUUUCAUGGAAAAGAAUCCUAAUCAGACCUAUAAAUCAAACAAAGUGCUUGGAAAACUUUAUCGUCAGUGGAAGACCAUGGUGCUAGAUGAAUCUUAGCUCAGGCUGUGCUGGAGGGUCUGGAACCAUAUUUGGAUGGUAGCUCCACUUAUUAUGUAUAACAAGUAGUUUCUCAUUUCCUUCUUGAGGACUGUAGCACCGAUUGGCAACAGCCAGAUUCUAGCUUACAUUCAGGCACAUUAGAAACUUCAGUUGGAAAUUGCUACAUCAGGUCACUUGAUUGGCGCGGAGAUGAGUAUAAAGAGGAACCGACCCAGUGAAGAACUGAUCUGCUGUUACUACAACUAAUAAAUAGUCUGAUUCAAUUUUGAACUUCUGGGAAAAAUAUUAUCCUUAUUAAACAGUUGUAUCCUCGGUUUCUGUAAACCUACUUGAGUAGAAAGACUAACGUAGAUUCUUUUAUACAUAUCAUGGGCGUUACUGUUUAUGGUGCAUAUAGACUGUUUAGAAUGACCUUGCCAUAUUUCCAUCAUUUUUAUCUAUAUUAAGAGAACCUGUUACGCUUGGCC